rnacentral:tRNA from 1 species
GGCUCGGUGGCUCAGUUGGUUAGAGCGGGGGACUCAUAAGCCCUAGGUCGUCAGUUCAAAUCUGACCCGAGCCA